AUUGAACGCUGGCGGCAGGCCUAACACAUGCAAGUCGAACGAGAGGCGGACGGGUUAGUAAUGACUGGGAAAGUGCCUGAUGGAUGGGGAUAACUACUGGAAACGGUAGCUAAUAACGCAUACCAUCGGCUGGGCCCAAAUGGGAUUAGCUAGUAGGUGGGGUAAAGGCUAACCAGGGCGACGAACCCGAGCUGGUCUGAGAGGAUGACCAGCCAAACUGGAACGGAGACACGGUCCAGACUCCUACGGUAGGCAGCAGUGGGGAAUAUUGCACAAUGGGCGAAAGCCUGAUGCAGCCAUGCCGCGUGUAUGAAGAAGGCCUUCGGGUUGUAAAGUACUUUCAGCGGGGAGGCGUUACCCGCAGAAGAAGCACCGGCUAACUCCGUGCCAGCAGCCGCGGUAAUAC
rnacentral:rRNA from 1 species